rnacentral:rRNA from 1 species
UACGGGGGGGGGUAAGCGUUGUUCGGAAUUACUGGGCGUAAAGGGCUCGUAGGCGGCCAACUAAGUCAGACGUGAAAUCCCUCAGCUUAACUGGGGAACUGCGUCUGAUACUGGAUGGCUUGGAUUCGGGAGAGGGAUGCGGAAGUUCCAGGUGUAGCGGUGAAAUGGCGUAGAUAUCUGGAGGAACACCGGUGGCGAAGGCGGCAUCCUGGACCAAUAUUGACGGCUGAGGAGCGAAAGCCAGGG